rnacentral:rRNA from 1 species
CCUACGGGAGGCUGCAGUGGGGAAUAUUGCACAAUGGGGGGAACCCUGAUGCAGCGACGCCGCGUGAGUGAAGAAGUAUUUCGGUAUGUAAAGCUCUAUCAGCAGGGAAGAAAAUGACGGUACCUGACUAAGAAGCCCCGGCUAACUACGUGCCAGCAGCCGCGGUAAUACGUAGGGGGCAAGCGUUAUCCGGAUUUACUGGGUGUAACGGGAGCGUAGACGGUUCUGCAAGUCUGCAGUGAAAGCCCAAGGCUCCACCAUGGGACUGCUUUGGAAACUGUCAAACUGGAGUGCAGGAGAGGUAAGCGGACUUCCUAGUGUAGCGGUGCACUGCUUAUAUAUUAGGCGGAACACCAGUGGCGAAGGCGGCUUACUGGACUGUACCUGCCGUUGAUGCUCGAAGGCGUGGGGAGCAAACAGGAUUAGCUACCCUAGUAGUC